UCCUUCAUGGUCCAGUGGUUAGGAUUCUCCGCUUUCACUUGAGCGGUCUGGGUUCAAUUCCCCGUGAGGGAG